AUUGAACGCUGGCGGCAGGCCUAACACAUGCAAGUCGAACGGUAACAGGAAGCAGCUUGCUGCUUUGCUGACGAGUGGCGGACGGGUGAGUAAUGUCUGGGAAACUGCCUGAUGGAGGGGGAUAACUACUGGAAACGGUAGCUAAUACCGCAUAACGUCGCAAGACCAAAGAGGGGGACCUUCGGGCCUCUUACCAUCGGAUGUGCCCAGAUGGGAUUAGCUAGUAGGUGGGGUAACGGCUCACCUAGGCGACGAUCCCUAGCUGGUCUGAGAGGAUGACCAGCCACACUGGAACUGAGACACGGUCCAGACUCCUACGGGAGGCAGCAGUGGGGAAUAUUGCACAAUGGGCGCAAGCCUGAUGCAGCCAUGCCGCGUGUAUGAAGAAGGCCUUCGGGUUGUAAAGUACUUUCAGCGGGGAGGAAGGGAGUAAAGUUAAUACCUUUGCUCAUUGACGUUACCCGCAGAAGAAGCACCGGCUAACUCCGUG
rnacentral:rRNA from 1 species